UCCGAGGCGAAGCCGAGGUCAAUAAACACACGAAAACGAGACUUUUCAUCUUUUUAUCCCGAGUUAUGUUAUGGAUUUUAGACGCUAAGGGUGUCGAAAGAAAUGCUUGAAACAUGAAAAGUACGGUUUUCGACGCAUGUAGUAUAUAAAAAUAUUUUAUUGUUAUUCAGCAAGACGAAUUUUAAAUAGCGACUUCUGUACGAACCACACCACACCCAAAAAUAUAUCAUCAAUCGAAAGUUGUUUUUAAAAAAGAAAUAAUUUCCGAAUUUAGAAAUGGUAAUUAUGCAUCGGAAUUGCGGUUUCUUACAUAAAAAAUAUAAAAUUUUAGAGUAAAAUCGAGAGCGAGAGUGAAAGUGAGAGAUAGAAAAAAUAUAUCAAAAAUGCAUUUAAAAAAGUAAAAAAAAUUGUAGAGAAAAAUGGUUUUAAAUUAAGUAGAAUGGAGGCUAUCAAAAAUUUUUGCGUACGCAUUCCAUUUAUGCUCCAAUUUGUAGAUAACGCGACAAAACGUAAAUUUAAAAAGAAAAAAAAAACAAAGAAAAU